UGAGGAAUAUUGGUCAAUGGGCGGAAGCCUGAACCAGCCAAGUCGCGUGAGGGAAGACGGUCCUAUGGAUUGUAAACCUCUUUUGCAGGGGAGGCAAGGCACGGUACGUGUACCGUGAAGGAGAGUACCCUGAGAAAAAG
rnacentral:rRNA from 1 species